rnacentral:rRNA from 1 species
CACGUAGGGUGCGAGCGUUGUCCGGAAUUAUUGGGCGUAAAGAGCUCGUAGGCGGUGUGUCGCGUCGGCCGUGAAAACCUGCAGCUUAACUGUGGGCGUGCGGUCGAUACGGGCAUCACUGGAGUUCGGCAGGGGAGACUGGAAUUCCUGGUGUAGCGGUGAAAUGCGCAGAUAUCAGGAGGAACACCGGUGGCGAAGGCGGGUCUCUGGGCAUUAACUGACGCUGAGGAGCGAAAGCAUGGGGAGCGAACAGG